rnacentral:rRNA from 1 species
AUGCUCAAGCCAGGGCAUUGUUGGAGCGUGUACGUGAAUGCCUUGACAAGGAGCGAUGCGAUAGAAGACUGCAUAGCCUGGGCAAGACUGAAGUUUGAAGAUUACUUCUCUAAUCGUGUGAAGCAGCUAACAUUCACGUUUCCUCAAGAUGCUGCCACUAGCACUGGUGCUCCUUUCUGGUCUGCCCUUAAGCGUUUCCCUUGCCCGGUGCAAUUCUCAGCUGUCGAUUCAUCUCACAUUCAAUUUAUACUGUCUGCUUCCAUAUUGAGAACGGUGUCUUUUGGGAUCCCCAUACCGGACUGGGUGAAUAAUGGAUAA